rnacentral:rRNA from 1 species
UACGAGUGCUCCAAGCGUUAUCCGGAAUCAUUGGGCGUAAAGGGUGUGUAGGUGGUUGUGUUAGUCUUUUGUUAAAUUCUUCGGCUUAACCGGGGGCAUGCGAAAGAAACGGCACAACUAGAGGCUGCGAGAGGUGAAUGGAACUCAUGGAGUAGGGGUGAAAGCCGUUGAUAUCAUGGGGAACACCAAAUGCGAAGGCAAUUCACUGGCGCACUCCUGACACUGAGACACGAAAGCGUAGGUAGCGAAUGGG